rnacentral:rRNA from 1 species
UCCUCUUAAGGUAAAGGAGGUAAGGCCUGCUCACUGAAUUUUAAAGAGCCGCAGUAUCCUGACUGUGCUAAGGUAGCAUAAUCAUUAGUCUUUUAAUUGGAGACUGGUAUGAAUGGCUAAACGAGAGAUCAACUUUUUUUACCGUAAAAAUUGAAUUUAACUUUUUAGUGAAAAGGCUAAAAUUUUUCAGAAAGACGAGAAGACCCUAUAGAGUUUUAUAAAGGACUAAUACUUUUUAUUUGGAUUUUUAUAAAAAAUAUUAAUAAAUUUAUUUUGUUGGGGCGACAUUUAGAUAAAAAAAACUCUUUAUAAGAAAAAUUUUUAUGAAAAUAUGGAUUGAUCCUUUAAAAAAGAUCAUAAGAAAAAAUUACCUUAGGGAUAACAGCGUAAUCUUUUUUGAGAGUUCUAAUCGACAAGAAGGUUUGCGACCUCGAUGUUGGACUAAAAUUAGGGCAGGGUGCAGCAGUUCUGCUCUUGGGUCUGUUCGACCUAUAAUAUUUUACAUGAUCU